UAGCGAAGGGGGCUAGCGUUGCUCGGAAUCACUGGGCGUAAAGGGUGCGUAGGCUGGGUUUUUAAGUCAGGGGUGAAAUCCUGGAGCUCAACUCCAGAACUGCCUUUGAUACUGAGGAUCUUGAGUUCGGGAGAGGUGAGUGGAACUGCGAGUGUAGAGGUGAAAUUCGUAGAUAUUCGGCAAGAACACCAGUGGCGAAGGCGGCUCACUGGCCCGAUACG
rnacentral:rRNA from 1 species